ensembl:lncRNA
AAGUCGGCCAUGAAGAGUGUGUGUAGAGGAGGCAGCGACUGCUGGCUGAGGAGAUAAGUGGACGCAGUCUGCUGCCCGACACACGGCGGCCAUGAGAGGAACGGAGAGAGAGAGAGAGAGGGAGAGAGAGGGAGAGAGAGGGAGGGAGAGAGAGAGAGAGAGGCACUCGGGUGAAGACGCGUGCUGCACUUAAGAGCCAAUUACCCGUCAUGUACACAUCUCCUCCCUCCCUCUCACCACUAUCGCUCCCUUUCUGCCAUCCAACAUGGCACUCAUCUUAGUUUAAUGGCCCACAGGGACUGUGCCACACACACACACACACACACACACACACACACACACACACACACACACACACACAUCUACAGGCAUGCUUGCAUGUGUGCGAUUGGCUGAUGAUGUGUGUGUGCGUGUGUUUGUAAUCAUUUAAACUCUCCUUUAUUCCUCUGUUCUCUUACUAACUUCUUCCCUCUCUACUUCUACACGCACACACACACACACACACACACACACACCCCUGCACGCUCACGCAUAGACACACACUCAUCUUAUUUUAAUGCGUCUGAAGGGGAGGCACUCAGCAGCACAGCAGGGGGGCUUCCUGGCAAGUCACGGAAGCACUGAAAACAUACACUGCUGCUCACGCUACCACCAUACACACAUUGAAUCACACACACACACACACACAGGGAGGCAGUACACGCUACCACCACACGCACACAUCACACACAGUACAUACGUUUAGCGCUGGAGUGAAGCACAUAGCUGACGGCCGUGUGGGGACACGCUGCAUGCGUGUGGGCAUGACAGCAGGAAGUAGAAGUCAUCCCCCGUCCCGUGACUGGGAAGCCGUCAACAUUCUCACCCGUCCACCAGCGCGAGAUCCGACGAGGACGAGGUCACGCAGCCUUUCUGUCAAACCCGCUGGAUCAAGAACAUUCGCUCUCAGUCCGACCGGAACGCAAAUUCACAAAAGGAUUUGAGUAGCAAAUCGAAUAAGUCGAGGGACGUUGUUCCUGAAGCAUUUCAUUACAAACGAUCAUCAAAGCAAAUCACGCGGCCGUCGACCCGUCGGGACCGUUUCUGGUCUCUCAGUUCAAACGCCUUCCUGUCACUUUGCCGUUAGUGGGUUUUUUUCUCUGUCUGCCUGGCGCGACUUCAUUAACGGCGACCUUUUAUAAAUCGUCUUGCUGAAAUGGGCAUUCCCCGCUGGCAUUUUGGCUUUUUAGAUUUGAUCGGUAAUAGCGUGAGUGGGGGGGGGGGCUGCCUGGUCAGUGUUAGCGGUGUAACUUGAUAGGCUACAGGAGAGGAAACAACAAACGGUCUACAAAUGACUACAAGAAAGCAAGUGCCAGUGGUUUAUUCCUCGAGAAGUUGCACACAAAGCAAAUAUGUCUUUUCAUGAGGGAAAAAUGUAAUUAAAUGAGUGUGGUAAACAUGAAAAACCCGAACAAUAUAAUCAUUUCCAGCUCUUUCAGCUUUGCCUUCAACAUUCCAACUCCUGCUUUGUCAGUUAAGGACCGGUGGAUAUUUCUGGACUAAAAUUCCAGAUUUGCAGACACAAGUCUCUGAAUUGAGUUUGGCUAUAAAACACUCUUGACAUGCAGUGCACUUUACCUCAGCUCCUGAGAGCUUUUUAAAUUGUUUCAUUAUGGAUGUGUUGAGGAAUUCUACUGGACGCUUGAAAAAUAUAUUUAAGCUCGUUCAAUUCUGACACCUUUCCCCUUGUUUGCGUCUGCGUGAGAGGCUUUAACGUAACAGACAAAAGGAGUCGCUCUAAAAAAUCAAUUAAAGGGGGAAAGUGUAAGCAAAACAAUAGGAGGUUCUUUUUGUUUCAUCAUCAGUAUAUUUUUCCACAGCGGGACUUUCUUGUACUGGUUUGAAAUAGUAACAGUCAAGUGAGACACAGACGUUUCAGAGCUGUUCAUAACGGACACUUGUGUUUAUUCAUUCUGCAGUGCAGUUGUUCCGUUCCAAAUUGCCUCUCUGGUACAAAGCCUGUGUUUGUUCGGCCCAGCGUGUCACAGCGAGGCCAGUGGGCCGAAAGUCCCGCGCUCCAUAAUCCCGACUUUACAGUGGAAACAAACUUCCAGACGCUCAAACACCGAGCUUAUCAGCGGUGGACAAAGUGGCCCGGUCCCCUCCACCGUAGAAACGAGCCCCCCCCCCCUCCCC